rnacentral:rRNA from 1 species
AUUGUACGCUGGCGGCAUGCCUUACACAUGCAAGUCGAACGGCAGCACGGGAGCAAUCCUGGUGGCGAGUGGCGAACGGGUGAGUAAUAUAUCGGAACGUGCCCAGUCGUGGGGGAUAACGCAGCGAAAGCUGUUCUAAUACCGCAUACGAUCUAUGGAUGAAAGCGGGGGAUCGCAAGACCCCGCGCGAUUGGAGCGGCCGAUAUCAGAUUAGCUAGUUGGUGAGGUAAAGGCUCACCAAGGCGACGAUCUGUAGCUGGUCUGAGAGGACGACCAGCCACACUGGAACUGAGACACGGUCCAGACUCCUACGGGAGGCAGCAGUGGGGAAUUUUGGACAAUGGGCGCAAGCCUGAUCCAGCAAUGCCGCGUGCAGGAUGAAGGCCUUCGGGUUGUAAACUGCUUUUGUACGGAGCGAAACGGCCUACCCUAAUACGGUGGGCUAAUGACGGUACCGUAAGAAUAAGCACCGGCUAACUACGUGCCAGCCGCCGCAGUAA